rnacentral:siRNA from 1 species
AGUGGAUUAUCUUUCUUUCUUUUC